UGUUAUUUUACAUCCUCCUCUUCCUCUUCUUCCUUCCUCCUCUCUCUUAGCACUCCUCCUACUGUUACUACUACUCCCUCUCCUUUUCCUCCCUUUUCCUCUCCCCAUAUCCUUCAUAAGCACCUCGGCGUCACCAUCAAAGGCGAGGAAGAGCCAGGGGAAGCAUAACAAAGGGGGGGAUCGACCAAGUGUUCUCGGAAGGCAAACAAGGGCCACAGGAGGAGCUGAGGGCCCGCCAAAGAGGAGCUGUCACGCCUACCACAGGCUGCCCCCCUCGCCAUCAAUCUCCCGCUAAACUAGACACCCUCAACACGGGGAAAGAAUGACAAUGGGAGGUGACGCAUGGAUGACAGUUCACCUGAAGGGAAAAGAGGUGUGUGGUGCAGUGUUACAUGAUCUACAAAACUUCUCAUCCAUCCCAACCUAUCUCAUGUUUUGAAAAGGCCACAUUAUUAUCAUGGCAGCACAAGUGAUACCUUGGGUGGCCCGUCCUCCUCCACAUUCUCCUUUGGCCGGGGACCUCGCUUGCGUAGCUUGUACCUGCCACCAAGAAGAUGGACAGCUGAGCCAUGGCAGUUAAUGGACACCUUCAUGGCAGUGAUGUCCAUAAUGUGAAUCAUGUACCCCUGAGAAUAUGUAGCACUGUUCAAAGCUUCCCGCCACUCCACCACCUCUGCAGCACGAUGCUCCCCCUCCACCUCCAACACCACAUCCCCAGCUGAAGGCAACUGUCGCCACCCAAUCACCUACAGAGAGGUGGAAGGGAGGGACCUGAGUAAUUCCAGUGUUU